UAGUUACUAGUAAUUAGUUACUGCCCAACACCGCUCAUUUUAUGCUUUAUUAUAUCACCAAAUCUUUUUUUAACUGAUUGUUCGUAAAAAAAAAUAUAUAUAUAAAAAAAAUUAAAAAAAAAUCUCAACCGGUCACAUGCAAAUUUCUUCCAGGUUCAAAUGCAGUUCAGGGUCUCCUUUGCUGGGUGAAGGCACAAAAUGGGGCGACUGGGGUGGCUGGAGCCAAACAAGGAAUGUGUGGUAUCAAGAUGCGGGUUGAAAUACCGCAAGGAAUCGGAGACGACACUGCUCUCAAUGACGUGCGCAACUGCGCAUGUACUGCUGCAGUUAAGCUGAAGCGAACGCAAUCAAGCACCUGGAUCUCAGAGCUGUCGAGAGGCAUCCAGCUGCAGCCCCGCAGACUCACUUCUUGCUAGACACCAGUGGCUGGACACCAGUGAAUGGACAGCAGACGUCAUUUCCGUAUCGUCAUUCACUUUUCAAAUUGACGUAAUUUCCGUACCGUCAUUCACUUUUCAAUUUUGACGCGCCAUGCAGAUGUCAGCGGUGUGGUGAAUGUCAAAAAACUGCCCCAGGCUGUAAGAGACAUGUGUGUCCCUUUUAAAAUUGUACAAUGCAGAAAUUGCAGAUGUUUUUUCAAAGAUGGUUGGGGUACUGUGGAAACGGAAGAUGUGGAGACCUGCGAGGGUUUUAUACAGACCCUGAAUUUCCUGAGCAUUGCCCAGACUGCCAGUUUUAGGGGGCAGGAAUGAGGUGUGGUGUGCACAGUGUGCAAUAGUCUAUUUGGAACUGUUCAUGUUUUAUUUUCUCUUGAAAUAGGGCCUGACUGUGGCAUCUUCGUUCUGAUGGUCAGAUUUGACAAGUUUUACUAAUUAGAUUGUGUAAUUUUCAAUAAAUAUUGCAAAACCAUGAAGUGUUAAUUUGA